rnacentral:antisense_RNA from 1 species
CACAAUGGGCGGGCCUUGGCGGGGGAGCCCUACGGCUCGCCGGUUCUUGGUUCUGUGUGCCGGUCUGCGAAUCCCGUCAAUGUGCCCGCUCACCACC